rnacentral:rRNA from 1 species
AACGAACGCUGGCGGCAGGCCUAACACAUGCAAGUCGAGCGCGCUUUCGGGUGAGCGGCGGACGGGUUAGUAACGCGUGGGAAUAUACCCAGAUCUAAGGAAUAGCCUCUGGAAACGGAGAGUAAUACCUUAUACGCCCUUCGGGGGAAAGAUUUAGCGGAUUUGGAUUAGCCCGCGUUAGAUUAGAUAGUUGGUGGGGUAAUGGCCUACCAAGUCUACGAUCUAUAGCUGGUUUUAGAGGAUGAUCAGCAACACUGGGACUGAGACACGGCCCAGACUCCUACGGGAGGCAGCAGUGGGGAAUCUUGGACAAUGGGCGCAAGCCUGAUCCAGCCAUGCCGCGUGAGUGAUGAAGGCCUUAGGGUCGUAAAGCUCUUUCGCCAGGGAUGAUAAUGACAGUACCUGGUAAAGAAACCCCGGCUAACUCCGUGCCAGCCGCCGCAGUAAUAC